rnacentral:rRNA from 1 species
UACGUAGGGUGCGAGCGUUGUCCGGAAUUAUUGGGCGUAAAGGGCUCGUAGGCGGUUUGUCGCGUCGGGAGUGAAAACUCAGGGCUUAACCCUGAGCCUGCUUCCGAUACGGGCAGACUAGAGGUAUGCAGGGGAGAACGGAAUUCCUGGUGUAGCGGUGAAAUGCGCAGAUAUCAGGAGGAACACCGGUGGCGAAGGCGGUUCUCUAGUACGGUACUGACGCUGAGACGCGAAAGCGUGGGGAGCGAACAGG